UACGUAGGGUGCGAGCGUUAAUCGGAAUACUGGGCGUAAAGCGUGCGCAGGCGGCGCGUUAAGACAGGUGUGAAAGCCCCGAGCUUAACUUGGGGAAUUGCGCUUGUGACUGGCGUGCUGGAGUGUGGCAGAGGGAGGUGGAAUUCCACGUGUAGCAGUGAAAUGCGUAGAGAUGUGGAGGAAUACCGAUGGCGAAGGCAGCCUCCUGGGCCAACACUGACGCUCAUGCACGAAAGCGUGGGGAGCAAACAGG
rnacentral:rRNA from 1 species